rnacentral:rRNA from 1 species
UGGCGGCGUGCUUAACACAUGCAAGUCGAACGAGAAGUACGUAGCAAUACGUAUUGUAAAGUGGCGCACGGGUGAGUAACACGUGGGUAAUCUGCCCUCGAGUUUGGGAUAACCCCGCGAAAGCGGGGCUAAUACCGAAUAAGACCACGGGGACCAAAGUCCCUGAGGUAAAAGAUGGCCUCUAUUUAUAAGCUAUCACUUGAGGAUGAGCCCGCGGCCCAUUAGCUAGUUGGUAGGGUAACGGCCUACCAAGGCUAUGAUGGGUAGCUGGUCUGAGAGGACGAUCAGCCACACUGGAACUGAGACACGGUCCAGACUCCUACGGGAGGCAGCAGUGGGGAAUAUUGCGCAAUGGGCGAAAGCCUGACGCAGCAACGCCGCGUGGGGGAUGAAGGUUUUCGGAUUGUAAACCCCUUUCGACCGGAACGAAUCUCCUCUUGGUAAAUAAUCAGGAGGAUCGACGGUACCGGGAGAAGAAGCCACGGCUAACUCUGUGCCAGCAGCCGCGGUAAGACAGAGGUGGCGAGCGUUGUUCGGAUUUAUUGGGCGUAAAGCGAACGCAGGUGGUUUGGUUAGUCAGGGGUGAAAGCCCACAGCUUAACUGUGGCACUGCCUUUGAUACUGCCUUUCUUGAGUGCAUGAGGGGGAAGCGGAAUUCCGAGUGUAGAGGUGAAAUUCGUAGAUAUUCGGAGGAACACCGGUGGCGAAGGCGGCUUCCUGGCAUGUAACUGACACUCAUGUUCGAAAGCGUGGGUAGCAAACAGGAUUAGAUACCCUGGUAGUCCACGCCCUAAACGAUGGGCACUAGGUGUGGGAGGUAUCGACCCCUUCCGUGCCGCAGCUAACGCAUUAAGUGCCCCGCCUGGGGAGUA